rnacentral:lncRNA from 1 species
AGAACGGAAAAAAGAAAGAGCUGCCACUUCCGAAGCGUAGCCCCGGCGUCCGGCAGGGCGACGUUCCCACCCGCACCCGGCUAGCCUCGGUGCCGGGCACCCUGCCCAGUUUUCACUCGCGGGGUCUCGCUGCCCCCGUGAGGCGAGCGACCCGACCCGCGAGUCCCCGGUCCCGCUGGCGCCCCUGCCUCGGGACAGCCUCACCCAGGACCUGCCUUCCCCGGAGCGGAACAGAAUCCCUAGUUUCAGAUGUUACAUGACUUGCAGCGUGUCCUGUCACAACCUCCCUUCUUCAUUCUCUGCUGUGUGAGAGGAAAUGGGAACACUCAUCGGCAAAGGGAAUUUCUUAAGGAACUCUUAUUGCUGGUGCUGCUGUUGUUUGAGACUUCCAGAAGCCCAUUUUCUCCUGUUAUUGGACGGACAAAAAAUAUUGCCUUGAGAAGUCACUCGCUGUGCCAUUGGUUGGCCCAUGACUCAGCAGAGGUUAGAUGCUAUUUUACCCUCAGAGUGUUAAGACUCUAUACCUGAGCCUGGACUAAAUCUUUCCCCAAGAGCAUAUUUUACAAUGAAACAAAGGAUGAGACCCCAGAGUACAGAAUGAAUCUACGUGUGUACUGGGAACUGGGAGAUGAGGGCAAACGUGAGUGCAAAGAGAGAAAGAAGAUGGAGGCCCCAUGAUUCUGCUUCCGUGGCAACAGCCAAAGCCAUAUUCUGCCACUUCUACCGUAUCUCCUCUAUUCUCUAGAUGGCGGCUGCUCAGCCAAAGGAAAGAAUUCGAUCUGAGGUUGGAGGAAGAGGAAUGAGUCCACAGAUACACAUUUUGGAUGUGCUGCCUGGAGAUGAUGCAAGUGCUGUCAAGUUUCCCAACCUGGAUUUUAUUUCCUUCAUGAUGAGAAAUAGAAGUACAUAAUUUGGCAGAGAGAAAAGUGAUUAUCCUGUUGGUUAAGAGGAAAAUGUUUUAGUGAUAUGAAAAAUAAAAAAUCACUACAAAUUCCA